rnacentral:rRNA from 1 species
GAUGAACGCUGGCGGCGUGCCUAAUACAUGCAAGUCGAGCGAACGGACGAGAAGCUUGCUUCUCUGAUGUUAGCGGCGGACGGGUGAGUAACACGUGGAUAACCUACCUAUAAGGCUGUGAUAACUUCGGGAAACCGGAGCUAAUACCGGAUAAUAUUUUGAACCGCAUGGUUCAAAAGUGAAAGACGGUCUUGCUGUCACUUAUAGAUGGAUCCGCGCUGCAUUAGCUAGUUGGUAAGGUAACGGCUUACCAAGGCAACGAUGCAUAGCCGACCUGAGAGGGUGAUCGGCCACACUGGAACUGAGACACGGUCCAGACUCCUACGGGAGGCAGCAGUAGGGAAUCUUCCGCAAUGGGCGAAAGCCUGACGGAGCAACGCCGCGUGAGUGAUGAAGGUCUUCGGAUCGUAAAACUCUGUUAUUAGGGAAGAACAUAUGUGUAAGUAACUGUGCACAUCUUGACGGUACCUAAUCAGAAAGCCACGGCUAACUACGUG